CCUACGGGUGGCAGCAGUCGAGAAUCAUUCACAAUGGGGGCAACCCUGAUGGUGCGACGCCGCGUGGGGGAAUGAAGGUCUUCGGAUUGUAAACCCCUGUCAUGUGGGAGCAAAUUCACAAGAUAGUACCACAAGAGGAAUAGACGGCUAACUCUGUGCCAGCAGCCGCGGUAAUACAGAGGUCUCAAGCGUUGUUCGGAAUCACUGGGCGUAAAGGGUGCGUAGGCUGUUUCGUAAGUCGUGUGUGAAAGGCGCGGGCUCAACCCGCGGACGGCACAUGAUACUGCGAGACUAGAGUAAUGGAGGGGGAACCGGAAUUCUCGGUGUAGCAGUGAAAUGCGUAGAUAUCGAGAGGAACACUCGUGGCGAAGGCGGGUUCCUGGACAUUAACUGACGCUGAGGCACGAAGGCCAGGGGAGCGAAAGGGAUUAGAUACCCUUGUAGUC
rnacentral:rRNA from 1 species